rnacentral:lncRNA from 1 species
UUCGGUCCCUGCCCUUGCUCAGUGGGUUAACGAUCUGACGUUGCCGUGAGCUGUGGUGUAGGUCACAGAUGCGGCUUGGAUCCUGCGUUGCUGUGGCUCUGGUGUAGGCCGGGGGCUGCAGCUCUGAUUAGACCCCUAGCCUGGGAACCUCCAUAUGCCUCGGGAUCGGCCCAAAGAAAUAGCAAAAAGACAAAAAAAAAAAAAAAAAAAAGGAGCAGACACAGAUAGUAAGCUCAGCACCUGGGGGUCCCCCUAAGUCCAGAGGAGAGAAGAGAGCGGUUGGGGAUCUCAGAGCCCAGACAGUGGAGGAGAGGCCCUGGGACGCUGGGACUUGGACCUCUGAGCAGGGCCACUGAGGGGUACGAGGUACCGUGAGGAGGCAGUUCCCAGAGUGGGUGAUGAAGCUGGAGCCUGGAACCAGCUCUCAGUGCCAAGGGAGAACCGUGAAUGAGCCCUGCUGAAAGAGACCCAGGCCUUCCUCUGACCCCGCCUUGCGCUGUGCCACAGGCAUCCUGCUGGCAGGGGAAGCCUGCUGGCCAAGCCCAAGGGAGGGUGCCGGAAUUCUGGUGGCACAAAUUCUGGAAGGCUGGCUUUAGAGCCAAUGUGAAACAACCUCGCGGCUGGCAGAGCCACACUCCCCAUCCCUUAUCGUUGGGCCUCUGUGGGCACUGGGACAGGGGGACAGUGUGCAGCUUUGAACUCCACCUGGCACUGUGCAUGGCUCAAGUUCUGGCUAGGGUCCUGUUGAGCCCAGAGGGUGAAGUUGAAAUGAGUGUCACACUUUUCUGAGAAAUGUCAGUUCUUUGAACAAUGGUCAUAAAAUUGGUAUGACUAAUUUUUCUGUCAUAUAAAAAUAUUUUCUCAACUUUGUGCGAUUUCUGUUACCAAAAAACAGACAGUAGCUUAUAAACAUCUUCACCUUUGAUGUUCAGGAUGCAAACCACAGUCUGAGCACAGACUUGGGCCCAGUGCUUAAAGUUGUGGUAGUAGGGAUUUCAUCUCCAAAAAGACAGCCUUUUACCCUUCAAAGUAGACUUCUUAUAAAUUGGUGUGCGUGGAUGCUGCUGCCUUUAUGUUAUUCAGUUCCAAAAAGUUUAUAUCACACAUUAGAAAUAUUUUAUACCAGGGUGCUUUUCACAGAGUCGUGUCAGCAUUUGUCAGCCAAGAAUAAAAAACAUAUCGGCAGAGGGCCUGGGAGUGAGUACUUUCACUUUGUGUGUCAUGCAAUCUGUCACAGCUGGUCACCUCUGCCCCAUAGUGCAAAAGCAGACAGAUUAUGAGUCAGCACAUGGCUGUGGCUGUGUUCCAGCAUCACUACAAACACAGGCAGCAGGUUGUAUUUAGACUGGACCAUAGCUUACUGACUCCUGGACAAAUAUGCAAACAGACAUGGACACUGCAAGCUAGGUCUGCUUCAAAGUUAAACUUUGUGGCUUUGUUGUGAGCCCCUUUUUUAGGUACUCAUACAUUUAGAUCUCCACAGUGCCCAGUGAAUGAGCAUUUGCUAAAGUGUCUGGCAAUUUUGCCAAAAUUAAAAAAAAAAAAAAAUUAGCUCUAUGUGGUCACUUCACUCAAAAUUAUUUUUCUUUUACCCUGAAACAUCUGGCUGAAUACACUUCUAGAAAUGUGACUUUUCACCUUAGUGCCCUGUCCCUUGCUGCUGGUCUGCCGAGGAUGAUCACAAGUGCUGGUGAGUCUUCUGAAGUGGUGGAGCCAAACAAGAGAUCUUAUCUACGAACCCUAUCAAAGGGUAUUAUCUAAUCUACAUUUAAUUAUUGAUUCUAGGUUUCUAAAAUGCACCCAUCAGCAUAAAAAAAGAAGCCUUGUUACGCUAAAAUUAACUCAAAGUGGAAUGUAAAUUUAGAUGUAAAAGUGAAACUUUAGAAUUUUAGAGAAGGAGUUCCUGUCAUGGUGGAGUGAAAACGAAUCUGACUAGGAACCGUAAGGUUGUGAGUUAGAUCCCUGGCAUUGCUCAGUGGGUUAAGGAUCCAUCGUUGCCCCUAGAGCUGUGAUGUAGGUCGCAGACAUGGCUGGGAUGCCAAGUUGCUGUGGUGUAGGCCGGCAGCUGUACCUCCAAUUAGACCCCUAGCCUGGGAACCUCCAUAUGCUGCAGGUACAGCCCUAAAAAGCAAAAAAAAAAAAAAAAAAAAAAAAAAACCCUAAUCAUGCAGAUACCACAUGAUCCAGCAAUUUCACUCUUGGGCAUUUAUCCCACAGAAAUACCUAUUUUUAUACAAAAAUCUGUACAUGAUUUGCUAUGUACAUGAAUGUUUAUAGCAGCUUUAUUGCUAAUAGUCCAGAAACUGGAAACAACCCCAAUAUCCUUUGUCCGGUACAUCAUUAAACAAAUUGUGAUCCAUUUAUACUGUGGAGUACUACUCAACAUAAAGGAGCCAACAACUGACAUAGGCAACAGUGUGGACGGAUCUCAAGGCCUUAUGCUGAAUUUAAAAAAAUCCAUUAUAAAAAAAAUUUUUUUAAUAAAAAAUUUAAAUAAAUAAAAAAUCCGGAGUUCCCGUCGUGCCGCAGUGGUUAACGAAUCCGACUAGGAACCAUGAGGUUGCGGGUUCGGUCCCUGCCCUUGCUCAGUGGGUUAACGAUCCGCAUUGCCAUGAACUGUGGUGUAGGUUGCAGACUCAGCUUGGAUCCCGCAUCGCUGUGGCUGUGGCGUAGGUCGGCAGCUACAGCUCCGAUUCGACCCCUAGCCUGGGAACCUCCAUAUGCCUUGGAAGUGGCCCAAGAAAUGGCAAAAAGACCAAAAUAAAUAAAUAAAUAGAUAAAAUAAAGGGCCACCUCUAUAUACCAUUCUUGAAAUGAUGAAACUACAGAGAUGGGGGGCAGAUGAGUGGCUGCCAGGAGCUGAGGUUGGAAGUAGGGGCAGGAAAGAAGACUGUGGCUAUUAUGUCAGAAGUAGCAUGAGAGAUCUCUGUGAUGGAAUGUUCUUUGUCUACACUGGGCCUCAGGAAUCUAAAGAUGUGGUAAAAUUGCAUAGAAUUGAAUGCACACACACAAAUGAGUAUGGGUAAAACUGGUGAAAUCCGAAUAGAGUUGGUGGGUUGUAUUCAGAUCAAUUUCCUGUUUUUAAAACUGUAAAUCAUGCAAUAUGUUACCACUGGGGGUGCCUGGGUAAAAGGUAUAAGAGAUCUAUAAUUAUCUUAAGUUAUAAAGCAUAAAAAGAUGUGAGGCUCUAAAAAUUAUCUGUGGAAUCUGAAUAGUAAAGGAACAUUAUCAUUAGGUAAAUUAACCUGAAUAACUAAUGUUUAUCUAGCAAAUUGAGGUGGCCUUAAGUAUGAGUUGUGGAUAUGUAAUUUAUUAUUUUUCUGAGGAAGGGAAGCUUGUUAAGCAUAAAGUAAUAUGCUGUAAUGUUUAAUGUGACUUAAUAUUUAGACUUUUCUAGACUUUUUUUUUUCCUUUUUAGGGCUGCACCUGUAGCAUAUGGAAGUUCCCAGACUAGGGGCGGAAUUGGAGCUGCAGCUGCCGGCCUACAUCACAGCCACAGCAAUGCUGGAUCCUUAACUCACUGAGCGAGGCCAGGGGUCAAAGCCACUUCCUCACAGACAUUAGUCAAGUUCUUAACCUACUGAGCCACAACAGGAACUCCCUCUAAGACGUUUAACUAAACAGAUUAACAAAUUACUAUGAAAGCAAUUUUUUUAUCAAAGUUUGUAUCCUGAUUAUUUUACAGAAUAUGAUCACAACAAACGAAAUGACUAUAUAACUUAGAAAUAAGUAAUGCUGGGGGAGUUCCCACCGUGGCUCAGCAGAAACAAAUCUGACCCGCAUCCAUGAGGAUUCAGGUUCAAUCCCUGGCCUCACUCAGUGGGUUAAGGAUCCAGCGUUUCUGUGAGAUGUGGCGUUGGUCGCAGAUGCUGCUGGGAUCCAGCAUUGCUGUGGCUGUGAUGUAGGCCAGCAGCUACAGCCUUGAUUUGACCAAUAGCCUGGGAAGCUCCA